rnacentral:rRNA from 1 species
UACGAAGGGGGCUAGCGUUGUUCGGAUUUACUGGGCGUAAAGCGCGCGUAGGCGGGUCACUAAGUCAGGGGUGAAAUCCCAAGGCUUAACCUUGGAACUGCCCUUGAUACUGGUGACCUGGAGAUCGGGAGAGGUUGGUGGAAUUCCGAGUGUAGAGGUGAAAUGCGUAGAUAUCUGGAGGAACACCGGUGGCGAAGGCGGCAUCCUGGACCGGCAUUGACGCUGAGGCGCGAAAGCCAGGGGAGCAAACGGG